GGGAUACGUUCGUUGGGUAGGGGAGCGUUCUGUAAGCCUGUGAAGGUGUGUCGUGAGGCAUGCUGGAGGUAUCAGAAGUGCGAAUGCUGACAUAAGUAACGAUAAAGCGGGUGAAAAGCCCGCUCGCCGGAAGACCAAGGGUUCCUGUCCAACGUUAAUCGGGGCAGGGUGAGUCGACCCCUAAGGCGAGGCCGAAAGGCGUAGUCGAUGGGAAACGGGUUAAUAUUCCCGUACUUGGUGUUACUGCGAAGGGGGGACGGAGAAGGCUAUGUUGGCCGGGCGACGGUUGUCCCGGUUUAAGCGUGUAGGUGUGUGUUCCAGGUAAAUCCGGUUCACUUUAACACUGAGGCGUGACGACGAGGCACUACGGUGCUGAAGCAACAAAUGCCCUGCUUCCAGGAAAA
rnacentral:rRNA from 1 species